UUAAGAUCAGGUGUGUCUUCAUACCUCGUCGCUGACUUCAUGUGUUAACCGUGACAGCUAAUAUAGCAGGUUGUACACUCAUAUAGCGGCUAGCUAGCCUACAGAGAGGAAUGGACACGCGCAAGUCCCGGAAGUGAAAGCCGUCUGCAGGAGACGUUGACACGGCGCUGUGAUUAUGUGGCGUCCGAAUUAUCUUAUUUGUGUCAGUUUCACAAUGUGAAAUGAGUAGACACCGAGGAAGGUGUCAGCCAUGGAAUUGAUAUGCAACAGAUGGAUGCUUCCACCAACUCGUGGAUGUCUUACUGGAGCCAUUCAGAGAUGGACUUGCUGCUGUGUUUUGGAUCAUUGUCCUGCUGCAGAACCCAAGUUGGUUUCAGCUUGAGGUCACCAACAGAUGGCUGGACAUUCUGCUUCUGGAUUUGGGAGACAGCAGAAUUCAUGGUUCCAUUUAUCACAGCAGGUCUUCCAGGUCCUGGAGCAGCAAAACAGCCCCAGACCAUCACACUACCACCACCAUAUUUUACUGCUGUGUUCUUUUUUUUGAAAUGCGGUGUUACUUUUACGGGACAGGUAAUGGGACACACGCCUUCCAAAAAGUUCAACUUAUGUCUCGCUAGACCACAGAGACCACAGACCUUUUCCCAAAGGUCCUGGGAACCAUCAAGAUGUUUUCUGGCAAAAUUGGAAAAUUGAGACGAGCCUUAAUGUUGUUUUUGUUCAGCAGUGGUUUUCCUCUUGGAACUCUGCCAUGCAGGCUGUUUUUUGCCCUUUUGUCUUUCUUAAGGUGUAGUUAUGAACACUAACCUAAACUGAGAUAAGUGAGGCUUGCAGUUCUUUGGAUGUUGUUGUGGGGUCUUUUGUGACCUCUUGAAUGAGUCGUCGCUGCACUCUUGGGGUCAUUUUGUUUGGUCGGCCACUCCUGGGAAGGUUCACCACUGUUCCAUGUUGUUGCCAUUUGUGGAUAAUGGCUCUCAAUGUGGUUCGCUGCAGUCCCGGAGCUUUAGAAAUGGCUUUUCCACACUGAUAGAACUCAAUUACUUUCUUUCUGGAGGGAGGGAAGAGGGGGGGCAAUCACUUUUUCACACAGGGCCAUAUAGACUUGGAUUUUUUUCUCCCUUAGUAAUAAAAAGCUUAAUUUAAAAACUGCAUUUUGUGUUUAGUUGUGUUGUCAUUGACUAAAAUUUAGAUUUGUUUGAUGAUAGUGUGACAAACAUGCAAAAACCAUACAUUUUCAAAUCAGAAACGGGGCAAACACUUUUUUACACCACUGUACCUGUAUGUUUUUUUUUUACUAUAGUACAUAUCGAUAUUUUAAAAAAUUAAAUAAUAUUCACCUCGCAAAUGCAAAAACCUCCCUCUUGUUAAAUGCCUCCCCCUGAAUAUAUGCCUUAAACUCUCUGCAGUUGAGUGCCAUGCACGAUAUGUGAUAAUAUUUUCAACAAAUGAUAUAUUGAGUGUAUCAUAAGCCUUACCAUGUUUUUUGUGCCCUUUGAUGCCUCUCUUUGUUCCGUAGCAUAAGAUGUAAAAGAAUAUGACUUUCUGUUUUAAUUUCCAGUUGAUUAACUGUUUUGAGUACAAAAACGGCAAACAUGCAAGCCUUUGGAGAGACACAGUGAAAAUGUAAAAGGCUGGGAAUCAGAAUCAUAGGAGAAAAGCAUGGCCUGGGGAGAAGCAUCAUGUAAUGUGCUUUUGCAUAUCCACCCCGCACUUUCUCAUUUGUGCCAUUUAGAUAUACACAGAAUUAUUUACACCUUCAAGGCAAGUCGACUGAACUGCACAUCAGUCAAUUAGUAAAUCAGAAAUUUUCUGUGAUUCCAUUUUAGCGUGCAGUCCUUGGCUCCCUCUGGUCCCACCUUUUUAGUCUUCCAUCCUGACAGUGACAAAUUACUCCUCUGCUUGGCGAGAUUGAAAAUUAAAAGCAUUUAAAGUUGCUCAUGCAUUUAUGCUAAUGAGGAAUUCAGAUAUGAUUUGCAUGCGAAAGAGGCUAGUCUCAGAACUCAUCAUUGCCCCCGCCACCUCCACCUUCUCAUUUCUUUAGGCUCUGUUUUUCUUUUCUGUUUUUAAAGCACAUGUAAUGUGUAAUUGGAUUAUGACAUACUGUAUGACAUAUGUUUUAUUACAUACAAGAAAAUUGCAAUAUUGCC